GAAAAUUUGAGGCUCUAAUGGAAAUAUGAUCAUAAAGUCAUUUGUAGCUUGUACAGUGUGAUAUAAAUAGGGGACUGGAAAACUGCCUUGCAUAAUGGGAAAUGCUGGAGAGCGUAGGAAACAGAUGAGGUACAUUUCCAGGGCAAACUACUUGCACAGGUACUGAGUAACAAGGCUGGCUACAGAUAAGAUGCCAACUUCACAUUACCCACAAACUAGUAGAGGAAGGUAACAGUUAAAUGAAUGAAAAGCAGGCUUAAUGUCUGUGAUUAUGCAAAACUACUGUCCAGCAGCUUCCAAGUUAAAGUCAGACACUUUUAGGGGUUCUCAGAGAAAGAAGUUCUUCCAAGAAGUCAUCUAUUUUAACGGUGUAGAUUCCUAUCAAAGCUUGAAAAACAGCCUCAGAGUUUAUAAAUUCGCUAAACCUGACUCUUUGAAAGUUUUUGGUUUUUUGUUUGUUUUUCAGUACUGAGGAUCAAAUCUAGGCCUCCAGCAUGCUAGCUAAGUGCUCUAUCCCUGAGCUGCCCCCACCCCCAGCCCCUGAAGUCUUGAUUAUAGCUUCAGAAAGCUAGUUGUUAGUUUCAGACAUUCCUUUUUCCGUGCAAGAUGUGUUUCUAGGAUAAUCGUGCCUUCCUGAUGUAAUUUGAAAGUUUAAGGCAUGUACAGAUGGCCCUAGACUUAAGAUGACUUGCCUUUUUUUUACUUUACAGUGGAACAAGCAAUGCUUAUUCCAUGAAAUCCAUACUUAAGGUCUUGAAUUUUGAUCUUUCUGGCUAGCAAUAUAUGGCACUCUAUUCUCUUGCUGCUGGGCAGCGGCAGGGAACUAUAGCUCCCAGUUGGCCAAGAGGUCACAAGGGGAAGGCACCAAUCCUCCAUGCUGUGCUGUGUUGUUGUGAUUAGGUGUAUUAAGUGCAUUUUUUUUUGUUGUAGUUGUCUGCUUUGAGAUAGGGUCUAGCUGUGUACUACUCCAGGUUGGCCUUGAACUCAAAAUCCUUAGUCUCUGGAGUGCUGGGAUUUAUAGGCAUAGGUCUGCAAGCUCAACUGCAAUGCCUUGCCUCUUCUGUACUGACUUGACUUAAUGAUAUUUUCAUUUUACAAAGAGUGUGUCAGGAUAAGGCCGGACGUGGUGGCGCAUGCCUAUAAUCCCAGCACUCAGAAGGCUGAGGCAGGAGGAGUGCCAAAAGAUUGAGUCCAGCCUGGGCUACAUAGUGAGAUCCUGUCUCACCCGCCUCCACAAAAAGAAAAGAAGGAUUUCUCCAGAAAGUGCAGUCCUCAGUGGUCUCAAGAAUACAACUUCUAGUUACCCAGCAGCAAGGUCCUGGGCCCUAAAAUACAAAGGUGUUGGGAGUGUUACUCUUAUGCAGUCCACCUGAUCUUGUCUUUGCCUAAUCGGAGAUGACUGCCCGGGAGACGGAUCCCUGUCUGUAUUCAGCAGCUAUCCUGAGUAGAACUUUUCCUCUUGCCUAACUGGGAAUGGAUUUCACAAAAGUCCCAUGUAAUUAAGAUCACAAUUCUCCCAGCGAAGAUCUGGCUUUCCUAGACUUCACUUCCCAUCUCUUUGAACAUUAAUAUGUUAGAUUUGCCACAAAUUAAAUUAUAAAGGCACAUUCUUUGCAUGUUCUCAUUAUUGCAUUCCAAGAUAUUGCCAAGGAUUACAGUUAAGUAGCAGCGGAAGGAAAUACUUGUGUUUGUCUAGUGUUCCCCGGUCACAGACUUCCAG
ensembl:lncRNA